CAGGCCUAACACAUGCAAGUCGAGCGGGGAAGGGUAGCUUGCUACCUGACCUAGCGGCGGACGGGUGAGUAAUGCUUAGGAAUCUGCCUAUUAGUGGGGGACAACAUUCCGAAAGGGAUGCUAAUACCGCAUACGUCCUACGGGAGAAAGCAGGGGAUCUUCGGACCUUGCGCUAAUAGAUGAGCCUAAGUCGGAUUAGCUAGUUGGUGGGGUAAAGGCCUACCAAGGCGACGAUCUGUAGCGGGUCUGAGAGGAUGAUCCGCCACACUGGGACUGAGACACGGCCCAGACUCCUACGGGAGGCAGCAGUGGGGAAUAUUGGACAAUGGGCGCAAGCCUGAUCCAGCCAUGCCGCGUGUGUGAAGAAGGCCUUUUGGUUGUAAAGCACUUUAAGCGAGGAGGAGGCUACUUGGAUUAAUACUCUAGGAUAGUGGACGUUACUCGCAGAAUAAGCACCGGCUAACUCUGUGCCAGCAGCCGCGGUAAU
rnacentral:rRNA from 1 species